rnacentral:lncRNA from 1 species
CCCCCUGCGCCCGAGCUCCGAGGCCGCGCUUCCUGCGUCCGCGUCCCGGUCUCCGCGCGGAUCGCGCGCCCUCUCCGCGCCGCGCUCCCUCGACCGAGGCUCCCCAGAGCCCCCAGCCCGCGAUCGUGGCGUCCCCGAAGAAGCAGCUCAGGGUAGGGGUGUCGCGCCGCCCCUAACCCCGGGCCGCCGGGCAGAAACCCAGCCGGACCCGCCGCCGCCCGGGUGAGAAUUUCUAGGCUUCCCCCCACACAAAGUUCACACCGGAAAUAAAUGUGCAACAGAUCUGAGGCUGCCUGGCUCUUGGAUCUUCUCCCAGUCACUGUCAGGAGCCCUCCAAAGCUCAGAGCCCCACACUGCUACUUGCCGUAAGGAGACAGUUGGCCCGGGGGUGUGGUACAGAAUUCUGAAGAUCUUAGAAGUCCGCUUCUCAUCCUGGCACUCUAGGAUGGGCCGCUGCAAGGGACACAAAGCC